AUGUUGUGGCGGAGAACUCUAUCUGUCAUUGUUGUUUUCUUGGCUCUUUCGUAUAGAAACAAAGAUGGUAGAAAAUUUAGAAGUGGAGGAAGAAAGUAUGGUCCACUAGUUGAGAGAGACAUCUACAGGACUAGUGUCCUGGUUAGGCUAAUUGACACAUCCGAUGCAAUAUGUAUCAAGCAACUGCGGAUGUCUCGAGCUGUGUUUUACAAGCUAUGUAUUAGGCUCAGGCAGAAAAAGUUGUUAAUUGAUACACUACAUGAUCGGUCAGCAUCACACAAAUUCAUCCAUUGGAUUGCAGUCCGAUGA
rnacentral:rRNA from 1 species